UCGCUCUGUGCUUAAGAUGUACGACCUCUGACUUGGCUCUAACUUGAAACCAACUGUCUUCUUUCUGGUCCUUUUUGCUGCACCUCCUUUUUCUCAAACUCCUCUUCCAGGUACCCGGAGCCCUACACCUAAAGCUCUGCUGAGCUCCGCGGGCCUGCUUGCUGGUCUCUGCGGGCCUGCUCCCGAGCCUCCGCUUGAACUCAGCUCCAGCACCAGCUCCUUCAGGCCACCCCUGAUUUUUUUUUGCAGAAUAAUACUUGGAUGAAUAGUACAAAAAUAAAGUGGUAUGAAAUAAAUGCAUUCUUUAGAAGUGGUCCCUUGGGCUGGAGAGUACGACUGCUCUUCUGAAGGUCCUGAUUUCAAAUCCCAGCAACCACAUGAUGGCUCACAACUAUCUGUAAUGAGAUCAGAUGCCCUUUUCUGUUCUACAAGAUGGACCAAGAAGUUCCUAUUGCUUGAAGAGAUGAAUCUAUGUCUGUAACAUAUUUUGCAAACCUUCAGCCAGGAGUUAAGAUCAUUUGGAACUGGAGUACAACAAUUGGAGCUGCCUGAUGUGGGUGCUGGGGAGUAAGCCUGUGUCUUCUACAAGAAUAAAAAAAUGCUCUUAACUCUGGAGGCAUCUCUCUAGCCCCAUGUUCUGUUAACUAUAAAAACCUUAUGAAGCUGUUACCAUGUGGAAAUAGAAUAUUUGGUCAAUCUGAAUCUGUUCCUUGGUCAUGGUCACUCAUGUUUGGUUCCAAAAUAAAUUCUUAGUCCCUUUGA